rnacentral:tRNA from 1 species
GCUUCUUUAGCUCAGUGGUAGAGCACCACCCUCGUAAGGUGAUGGUCCACGGUUCGAUCCCGUGAAGGAGCU